rfam:Oryza sativa (indica cultivar-group) chromosome 2, whole genome shotgun sequence.
AAUAAAUAUGGUUUUAGCACUAUUCAUAUCCAAUGUUUGAUCGUUCGUCUUAUUUCAAAAAAGAUGAUAAAACAUGAAUAGUACUUUAUGUGUGACUAAUUUUUUUAAUAUUUUUUAUAAUUUUUUUAAAUAAGACGGAUGGUCAAAACAUAUAGUACGCAUAUCUAUGGCUGCACUUCUU